AAGACCAAAGAGGGGGACCUUCGGGCCUCUUGCCACCGGAUGUGCCCAGAUGGGAUUAGCUUGUUGGUGAGGUAACGGCUCACCAAGGCGACGAUCCCUAGCUGGUCUGAGAGGAUGACCAGCCACACUGGAACUGAGACACGGUCCAGACUCCUACGGGAGGCAGCAGUGGGGAAUAUUGCACAAUGGGCGCAAGCCUGAUGCAGCCAUGCCGCGUGUAUGAAGAAGGCCUUCGGGUUGUAAAGUACUUUCAGCGGGGAGGAAGGGAUUGUGGUUAAUAACCGCAGUCAUUGACGUUACCCGCAGAAGAAGCACCGGCUAACUCCGUGCCAGCAGCCGCGGUAAUACGGAGGGUGCAAGCGUUAAUCGGAAUUACUGGGCGUAAAGCGCACGCAGGCGGUCUGUCAAGUCGGAUGUGAAAUCCCCGGGCUCAACCUGGGAACUGCAUUCGAAACUGGCAGG
rnacentral:rRNA from 1 species